rnacentral:rRNA from 1 species
GUCCACGCCGUAACGAUGUCUGCUAGCCGUUGGAUCCGUUAAGGAUUUAGUGGCGCAGCUAACGCGAUAAGCAGACCGCCUGGGGAGUACGGCCGCAAGGUUAAACUCAAAUGAAUUGACGGGGCCCGCACAAGCGGUGGAGCAUGUGGUUUAAUUCGAUGCAACGCGAAGAACCUUACCGCCCCUUGACAUCCUGCGAACUUUCUAGAGAUAGAUUGGUGCCUUCGGGAACGCAGAGACAGGUGCUGCAUGGCUGUCGU